rnacentral:rRNA from 1 species
GGUAGGUUGAGAGUGGCGAACGGGUGAGUAACACGUAGGUGACCUGCCUUAGAGAGGGGGACAACCAGUGGAAACGCUGGCUAAUACCCCAGAUGUCUUUACAGUUAGAGAGUAAAGACUAAAGCUCCGGCGCUCUAAGAGGGGCCUGCGGUCCAUCAGCUAGUUGGUGAGGUAAUGGCUCACCAAGGCAUAGACGGAUAGGGGGCGUGAGAGCGCGACCCCCCACACUGGUACUGACACACGGACCAGAUACCUACGGGUAGCAGCAGCGAGGAAUAUUGCGCAAUGGGGGCAACCCUGACGCAGCAACGCCGCGUGGAGGAUGAAGGCUUUCGGGUCGUAAACUUCUUUUCUGAGGGAAGAGGAAGGACGGUACCUCAGGAAUAAGGCCCGGCUAACUACGUGCCAGCAGCCGCGGUAAAACGUAGGGGCCAAGCGUUAUCCGGAUUUACUGGGCGUAAAGCGCGUGCAGGCGGUAAAGUAAGUUGGAUGUGAAAGCUCUCGGCUCAACUGGGAGAGGCCAUUCAAAACUGUUUUACUAGAGGUUGGUAGAGGCGAGUGGAAUUCCCUGUGUAGCGGUGAAAUGCGUAGAUAUAGGGAGGAACACCAGUGGCGAAAGCGGCUCGCUGGGCCAUACCUGACGCUCAGACGCGAAAGCCAGGGGAGAGAACGGGAUUAGAAACCCCGGUAUUCCUGGCCGUAAACGAUGUCAACUAGGUGUAGGGGGUCAUACGACCUUCUGUGCUACAGCAAACGCGAUAAGUUGACCGCCUGGGGAGUACGGCCGCAAGGCUAAAACUCAAAGGAAUUGGCGGGGACCCGCACAAGCAGCGGA